rnacentral:lncRNA from 1 species
UUCAUUUAACUUUGAGCCCUUGCCUCUCAGUGUUCUAUUCUGAGCUAGUCAAACAAGUGGUAGCAGGCAUGCUGGGCUCAAUAAUACUGCCUCUCAUAUUUAAAUACUCUAUUUCACUUGGAUUGCAAAUUAAAGACAGUCUCCUGAAUGCUGACACAUUUUCAAUGAUUGAUUUUGCAAAACGUGUUGAUUUUUCCUACACUGUUUUGCCUCUCUGUGUGUCAACUUUGGCCUUCUUUUCUUGCUCCUUUGCAGCACUGCUGUCUCU